CAGCUGUUUUGAUACAUGCUCGACUUUCUUUUUCUCUUGUGCAAUGGGGUUUAUGAGUUAAUUAGCCAAAACGGGACCUUAAAAAGGUGUAAGUAACCGUACUAAGUUCGUAAGAACGGAAUGUCUAGAGACUACACGGCUGAGCGAUUUAGCUCUCAUAAAUGGAUAGUCCUCAGUAUACCAUCUGAGCAUCCCAUACAAAAUGGUUA
rnacentral:autocatalytically_spliced_intron from 14 species